CGUGUGUGUGUGUGUGUGUGUGUGUGUGUGCACGCACGCGCACGCACACACACGCAACC
rnacentral:miRNA from 10 species